rnacentral:lncRNA from 1 species
ACUGCAGGGAAUGAAGCAUUUCAGGCAGGAAAAUAUGAGGAAGCUGUCGAACAUUAUACGGCUGCUUUAUCAAGUAAUGUGGAGUCUCGCCCAUUUACAGCUGUCUGCUUUGGUAACCGUGCAGCUGCAUAUAAAGCAUUAGGUCAAAUUACUGAUGCCAUAGCAGAUUGCAAUCUGGCCAUAGCUCUUGAUGGAAGAUACUUGAAGGUUUUCUCUCUUCAAGUGAAACUAAUUUUGUUUAGAUCAGAGAAUGAUAUCACAUGGAGAGAUAAAUUGAUAUAUAUAGGAUUAAACUACAUAGGGUUAUCUUGUAACAAAAAGGAAAAGACCCUCACAAACUUGUCAUUUUUUAUGAUAUUGCUUUGUCAAUGGUUAUAUAAGUGGCACAUUUGCUUUUCAAAAAUUAAAGCUUCCUCAACCUUCCUCGAUUACUCUGUAACAUUUCACUUUUAGCAUUUUUCAAAUAUUCGUCUUUUAGAGAUACUAAAUGACUUGUUUGGAUUAGUACUUCAUCUUCACAUUGGUUAAAUGAUUUGAGGAUAAUGUAUGUAUAUUUAUUAUCUUCCAGGCACUUUCCAGGCGUGCAACUUUAUAUGAGAUGAUCAGAGAUUAUGACCAAGCAGCGAGCGAUAUAAGGAGAGUUAUCUCUCUUCUCAUGAAAGAGAAUGGGGAAAAUAACAAUCAGCAUGGCAUAUCUGAUAGAUCUGUCAAAUAUGCCAAUGAUUUGAAAGAUAACCAAAUUUGGCUUUCCGAAAUAGAGGAGGAAGCCAAAAAGGGGAUACAUCUUGAUGUGUACCUCAUUUUGUAAGCUCUUCUACUAAUAAUUUGUACUUAUUUACCAUUACUUAGUAUCUUAAUCAGUAUAACUUCAUUCUCUUUCGUUGAUUCAAUCAUCUGUUUAAGUGCCAGCAUUUUUGUACAUGUAGGGGGAAAUAUUUCUUUAUAAUUGCCAGAACAUCAGAGAAUCAGAUAAACUAAACAUGUUUUAUGUUAGAAUUUGUCAUCAGUGGAAGUAAUGUUUAAUGUGUGACAGAAAUAGAAUGCUGUCAUUAUAGAGCCUUGCCUGUUGCAAAUUUAUCUUGAUAUUAUCAAUCAUUUAAGGCAUCUGCUGAUUCAGAUUGUGAUGGCAGAGGAGUUGAACAUUCUGUUUCAUCAUCUGAAAUCAAGAAGGCCUAUCACAAAGCUGCACUUAGACAUCACCCAGACAAGGUUGUUUGAUUAGUCUCUUCUCUUUGUUAAUUCCUCAUAUACAUAAGAAAUCAUUUUAACUAUUUAAGUACUAUGUAGGCUGUCCAAUCUUUGGCCAGAAGUGACAAUGGAGAUGAUCAGAUAUGGAAGGAUAUCGUUGAAGAAGUAUGCAAAGAUGCUGAUAGACUUUUCAAAAUAAUUGGAGAAGCAUAUGCAGUCCUGUCAGAUCCUGCCAAGGUAUUUUCUGCAUUUUCAUCUGACUGGUGUGACUCUACAAACUUUUGGAGAGUAUUUAUUUCUUCGUUAUUCCCUUUUUGCAGCGAUCACAGUUUGAUUCUGAAGAAGAAACAAGAAAUUCUCAAAAGAAACCCCAAGGAAAUAGCAUGACCAGAAAUAAUGUCAUGGAUCAAACUGACAAUAGGAGACACCGGAAAGGGGUUUGGAGAUCAUAUGGUAGCUCAUCUUUCAAAGAUUCUGAAGCUGGCCGGUCAAGUAGGCAAUAAGAAAACAAAAGUUGAAAAUUUUAGUCCAUGGCUACAAUCUUCACUGCAGUCUGACUCAUUGAAUGAGGUGAAGUUUGGUGGUGUUUUCAUCUUUAUGCAUUUUAUACUAACAUGCACGCUAAUUUAAGACUGAGACCAAUGGCAUUGCAGUUGGAGAAGCUUGGUUCUUGGGAUUUCUUUGAGAUAUCGGAAGAGUUUAUCUUCUGGCAUGCAGAAAGCUAUCAUGGUUGCGUUCUAUUUUUAUUUUUGCUUUUUUCUGUUUUAACUACUCACAAUAUGCUGGGAUGACAACAAGAAUGAAAAGAAAGUCCGAAAAUUGUUUGAAUUUUUUGAGGUUUGUAAAGAUCUUUUACUGUCAGAAAGUUUAUAUACCCACAAACAACCAAACAGACUACAUUAAAUUGUGUAAUUCCACAUGAAAUUUUCUAAUGACCUAAAAAUGUGUUGUCCAUGGAUCUAUGCAAAGAUUUUACAUUUACAUUUUCUCCUGAACUGUACAAUUAAGUUAACUUCAAACCUCUGUUUCACUAGCAGUUGAAUUAAUGUUUCGAAUCUCAAGAUCAGAGAACCAAUAUAGAAGGUCUUUUUUUUUGUAUCUAAGAUAUAUUUCAAUAUACUGUAUUUCUUAUUAUCUUAUACAAAUAUUCUUUUUACAAUUGAAUUAUCAUAUAUUCAAAAUAUUUAAUAAAUUCUUCCUGAUUUUUAUGAAAAUACUAUAAUAAAAUUGGUAUGUGUAUUUUAUUCGAUACUAUAUUAGCUUUACUAUUAUAAAUUUAAUAUGGUCUUCCAUAUAUUUAUAAGAAUAUUAUAAAUUAUGGGUAUUUAUAAUUUAUUUGCUAUGAAUGCUAUUUCUACCAUUAAGUUGUGAUAAAUUUAAGAGAUCAAUAUCUUCUUCCAAAUCUUUAUAAAAUAAUUUAUAAAUUUUGUGUGUGAAGAGACACUACAAAGUAUUAUCCAAUUCCUAAUACAUAAAUAUAUGCAUUUCAGAUUAUAUAAUCCCAAACAUUUCCAAACAGAGUAAUCCACUGUAUCUUUAAAUUCUGCAAUCGGAAAAUCUUUAUUGAAUCCAAGACAAAUCCAAACAACAGAAUCCAAAACUUAAAGUGAAAAAAAAAAAAACCUCAACCAAAAUGAAUGAACUAGAAUCACCUCCUACCAACGCCGGCGACGAGUACGAAACACCAUAUCCACCUACGAAUCAUCACCAACCACCACCGUCCACCACCAGAAAUGAUACCACAACCUUUACAACACAAUAAAAACACUCUAACUUUAUUUAUCUCCACAAGGAUAUAAAUAGUAUUUCGAAGAGUAUCGGUUGAAGGUGGAAAGCAUGAAAGUGCAGGAAGCACCGUAUGGAGAAAUUCACAAGUUAUUCUUCCUCUUCAUCGUCUUAUAGCGUUGUAGCAGAGUCUUCUGUUGCUGCUAUUUUUACUGUCUUUGGAU